rnacentral:tRNA from 1 species
GGGCUCGUAGCUCAUUUCUGGUAGAGCGCCGCUCUCGCACAGCGGAGGUGGCCGGUUCGAAUCCGGCCGGGUCCACC